rnacentral:rRNA from 1 species
GACGAGUGGCGGACGGGUGAGUAAUGCUUGGGAACUUGCCUUUGCGAGGGGGAUAACAGUUGGAAACGACUGCUAAUACCGCAUAAUGUCUUCGGACCAAACGGGGCUUCGGCUCCGGCGCAAAGAGAGGCCCAAGUGAGAUUAGCUAGUUGGUAAGGUAACGGCUUACCAAGGCGACGAUCUCUAGCUGUUCUGAGAGGAAGAUCAGCCACACUGGGACUGAGACACGGCCCAGACUCCUACGGGAGGCAGCAGUGGGGAAUAUUGCACAAUGGGGGAAACCCUGAUGCAGCCAUGCCGCGUGUGUGAAGAAGGCCUUCGGGUUGUAAAGCACUUUCAGUUGUGAGGAAAAGUUAGUAGUUAAUACCUGCUAGCCGUGACGUUAACAACAGAAGAAGCACCGGCUAACUCCGUGCCAGCAGCCGCGGUAAUACGGAGGGUGCGAGCGUUAAUCGGAAUUACUGGGCGUAAAGCGCACGCAGGCGGUUUGUUAAGCUAGAUGUGAAAGCCCCGGGCUCAACCUGGGAUGGUCAUUUAGAACUGGCAGACUAGAGUCUUGGAGAGGGGAGUGGAAUUCCAGGUGUAGCGGUGAAAUGCGUAGAUAUCUGGAGGAACAUCAGUGGCGAAGGCGACUCCCUGGCCAAAGACUGACGCUCAUGUGCGAAAGUGUGGGUAGCGAACAGGAUUAGAUACCCUGGUAGUCCACACCGUAAACGCUGUCUACUAGCUGUGUGUGUCUUUAAGGCGUGCGUAGCGAAGCUAACGCGCUAAGUAGACCGCCUGGGGGAGUACGGCCGCAAGGUUAAAACUCAAAUGAAUUGACGGGGGGC